rnacentral:rRNA from 1 species
AUGAACGCUGGCGGCGUGCCUAAUCCAUGCAAGUCGAGCGAACAGACGAGGAGCUUGCUCCUCUGACGUUAGCGGCGGACGGGUGAGUAACACGUGGAUAACCUACCUAUAAGACUGGGAUAACUUCGGGAAACCGGAGCUAAUACCGGAUAAUAUAUUGAACCGCAUGGUUCAAUAGUGAAAGACGGUUUUGCUGUCACUUAUAGAUGGAUCCGCGCCGCAUUAGCUAGUUGGUAAGGUAACGGCUUACCAAGGCAACGAUGCGUAGCCGACCUGAGAGGGUGAUCGGCCACACUGGAACUGAGACACGGUCCAGACUCCUACGGGAGGCAGCAGUAGGGAAUCUUCCGCAAUGGGCGAAUGCCUGACGGAGCAACGCCGCGUGAGUGAUGAAGGUCUUCGGAUCGUAAAACUCUGUUAUUAGGGAAGAACAAAUGUGUAAGUAACUAUGCACGUCUUGACGGUACCUAAUCAGAAAGCCACGGCUAACUACGUG